rnacentral:misc_RNA from 1 species
GGUUAACUAAAAAGUUGAAAACAUUUCGGUUAAUUUCUGUUAUCAACUAAUUAAUUGAAAAUAAUUUUUGGCCAUUUAAUUAAUUAAAUAAAUAAUAAAAAUAAAUUUUUCCAAAAAAUUAUCUCUCGAUUUGCCAAAGCCAAAGACAAAGCCGAAGCGAGCGAGCGACGACGACGACGGCGCGAGGGGGGUCCCUCUUUCCAACCCUUUU